AAUACACUUGAAUUUUUAGUAUUAUUCUACUCUAUUGCUAAUUGCCAGGAGAUGAAUUAAGUUGAAUUCAUAUCUCUUUCACAUUGAUAAAUCAUUGCUUUAAUCGAAGUGCCACUCGACGCACAGCAGCUGGCUCAAUGCCAUUAUCAAGCACACAUUCAUACAUUCCCUCAUCGGAAGAUUCAAACUUUUCGAUUCGCAAUUAUUAUAAUAAUUAAUAUUAGAUUUUGCAAAUUCUGUACCAUUUGGUAGUUUCCAUUUGCUUUGCACUGGUGGUAAUGCAUUCCCUGUAUAGUUAACGCUUAGCGAAUCUCCAUGUUUGACGUGAAUAUCUAAGUAAGACAUAUUGAAAGUAAAACCAUUUAGUGGAAAUCAACUUGAAUUCAUGAAAACGUUACCAUCAUUAUCCGUUUCCUGAAGUAUCGGUUAAUUGUGUUGACGCUGAUUUUGUUACGCUAUCUUCAGUUGCAAGACAUAUGUAAUUACCAGAAUGUUCUAUCGUCAAGUAAGAAACGAUCAAAUUAUUUCCAGCUAACUAAAUUGAAAUCAAAUAGUGCAUACAGUAGGUAAAUUGUUUUUGUGAAUCAAUAAGUGAAAUCAACAGCUCGGUAACAUACCUUGUUCAGUUCAUACCUCAAUCGAGAGAGCGUAGCUAAAUAAAAAUGCGAAUGAUUUUUGUGCUGUACAUAUUCUGACUCCGAAUUUGCUAUUUCAACAGUAAAAUAGAGUGGAACUUCUUGUCUAGCCCACCCUCUAUCGAUUGAAGUAAGCGCUAAGUUAGUAUAAAUUUAAUAUAAAACAAACAAUUAAGCAAUUUACCUUGUACGUAUUGUCAUCGAUAUUAAUUUUAGUGUCAUUAAGAUACCAAUUUAUGUUCAGUGUUGAUGUUGGUUCCACCGAAAUAGAGCACAGAAUUUUGAGCUGUGAUUGAUUCUCUUUUCCAACAUACUCUGUCUUUGGAAUGGUCACCGUGAACACUUUUUCAAUGACAAUCGGCGGUGGGACCCAAGUUACUUCAACACUAACAUUUUGAUUUGAAGAACCAAACAUAUUUGUAGCAAUGCAUGAGUAUUGUCCACUAUCCUCUAAGACAGCUGAUUCAAUUUUAUGCGAUAGAUUCUACAACGAACCACUGUAUUGGAAUAACAAUAAAAUUUAUCAUAUAUUCAACAACGAAAAGAUGUCAAUAUUAGUAAAGAUAUUUACUUCGAUUGUAACUCUCUUUUUAACAGCUGAUCUCCAUGCUGUAUGCUGACUUUAAACGGUACUAAAGAAUGAACCAUAUACUUCAGCAGCAAAAAUUCACCUUCGUUAAUAUUCAAAUUGGUUGCAUUUAGAAAUACAUCUGGUGGAGGUCCGUUCAAUUUUCGUAAUGUUGUAGAUAUCAUCCUAUUUAUCUGAAUUCCGUUUUCGUUGUAGCCAUUUAUCUUAAAAUCACACAGUUCAAUUCAUUCGCAAUGGUAAUGUUAAUGGCGACUCAAAUGGAUCUGUUUCAUAUGAAUAUUUGGCCAGGUUUAAUAUUUUAUCCGCAUUUAAUGGUAAAACAACUGGUUUCGAUUGGUGUGCAGUAGCUAGUAAGUGUACUUCACUUAGAUUGUCUUAUUCAUUCGGAACGAUUGUCAGAACAUUUUGCGUUCCUAAAUGUUGAUAAAUAUGUAAAAAAAAUCACAUCUGAAAAUCUGCAUUAACUGCAAUGGAAAGAAGUGUGUAUCUAACAUAUAAUUUGGUGGUUGAACCGGUCCAGCGGAGAAUCCAUAUGAAAAUGACAGUGAGCUGUCGGCAGUUAUGCGAACUGAGUGUGCACUCUUUGACAUCACAUCAAUCACCCAUGUGCCGUUAGGUGGACUUUCAAUGGUGUAGGCUUUAACAUUUGUUAAAUUUACCGUUUCGUUAGCAUUUUCAACAAUCUUACCAUCGAGGCGAUAAAUACACAUUUUUGCCUCUUCGCCAGAAAUUAUAAGCUCAAGUUUUUUUACGGUUUGGUCGACCGAAAAAUCCUAACGACAUGCAUCUGCUUCAGAUACAUAACAAGAUGUUAAUAAAACGUGAUGGUUGUCUAAUUUUGCACUAAAUUCACUCAGAAUCGGUUCAAUUCUAUCAGCUCUAAUAUCAUGCACACGGCCGUUACUGAUUUGCGUUAAACGUUCGUAUUUUUUAUACUUUUCAUUUGAUUUAUUGUCACAGUAGCCCGUUUAUAGGAUUGACAUCUGAAAUGAACAAAUGCAAUAGCAAUAACUUUUGGUUCUGAUUUUCUUCAAACGCAUUCUGGCGUAAAUUGCAUACAGUGACCUGUUUUCUCUGUAUAAGUUCUUCUACUUCAUAUUCUAACCAGUAAUCAUUGGCUGAUGCAUCGGUGAAUACGAGCACAUUAGAGUUUGGAAGUGCAUGUUCCAGUCCUACGAUUAUCGCACUGAGUGUACUCUCCGGGCAAUCGUCUCCGCCAUGGAGAUGCACAUCUCCAAAGUGGAAAUGUGCAUCUUAAAAAAGUAAAAUUUUGAGGGUCUAUCAUAUUUUAGCAGCCCAAAGCAGUGAUUAAGUUUAAUUUGGACCUUUGUUGCCUGCGCAAUUUAUAUAUGAAUGGUUUGGAGCGAAAAUGUAAUACAAAAAAAUUGAGCGGAAAAAUGUCGAUGAUGAAUGAGCGAAAAAGGAAUAGCUAUAUAGUAAACUGUAAAGUAAACUAUAGUGAACUAUAUAUAGUUAUCCCUUUUCAUUUGACAUUUUUUCGCUCAACUUUUCUGUAUUACAUUUUCGCUCCAAAACAUUCAUAUUGUAAUCAAAUUGGGCCUUAGUCGUAUUUAUACAAGGUUUCCUUUGAUUAUUCUCAUCAUUCAGCCCAAUAGAUUCAUUUACUUACAUUUUUCAACAGUUUCCAAAAGACUUUGUGCAUAAAGACCGAGAUAAAGACAUUGUGCAAGCGUAUUCAAAGUGUUUCCAAUCUAUUUUGCCAUACAAAAAGAUAAUGAAUUGUGGAAAAUAUAUUCGAUUUUUCGUACAUUUAUUAUUCGUUUCAUUUACAUUUAUAAGUAAUGUCUUGAUUUAUCACACAAUUAAGUAAUCGAGUCACUUGACAGUUUGCGGUGACUUUUUGGAAUGAUACACAUUAAAAACCUAUAACCUAUAAGGAUAUUAUCAUUUAUAUGCAACGUAUUUCGGCAUUUCGCUUUCAACUUACAAUUAUUGGUUCAAAUAACAAAUUUCGCACAAUUUUCACAUAAAUCAUAAAUUAAAUAUUUUAUUUGUUUUUUUUUCCUAUUUAUUCGUUAUCUAUUAUUUCUAAUUCACAUCACUGACUUGAGAAGCUCUACAAAAUGAACAUUGAAGUUGUGAUUGCCUUUCGGCAAAAUCACACAUUCAAAUCGGACAUCAUUUUACGAAUGUCUGUGAGUGAACCAUACGUAUCGAAGUCAUCCAGAUGACGCCGCUGUGGAACUAUAUUUUGUGGUCGCGGCAAUGCGAGUGGUACAGGAAGAAGUUCAGGCAUUACCUAAUAAUUUAAAUUUAAAAACAUAAAUUUAUAAAAUUAUUUAUUUUUUUACAUUUUUUAUCUUCAGGAGGAUUACCGAAUGAUGUGUUAUCAGUGCUCGAAGUGAUGAAAACUCUUUUGUGAAACCCUGUAAAAAACAACGAAAACGCCACGUGAAGUUCUCAAAAUGAGAUAAUGUGACACCUUUGGUGCAGGUGGUGGAACACGCAGCGAUAAAGCAAAACAUCCUGGUUUUGUGCUACUCUGGCGAACAAGGAAGGCACCGGGACUUUGACGACUAAGCACUUCUAGUGAAAUUUCACGUGGAAUACCAGCUUGAAACCAGGCAGCACCUUUCAAUUCAUUCUGUUCGACAAUGCUAAGACCUUCAAUUCGUUUAUGACUUGGUCCAAAUAUUUUUGGGCUUGAAUUGGCUAAAAUAAUUUGAAGAAGAAAAAAACAAAGAAUUAUUUUAAUAUAAAAAGCAUCAAUGGGCAAACUCUUAUCUACUUCUAGUACAAUACAUAUCAUCUUAAAUUUCAAUUUUAAUAUCGUUUGGAGCAAUAAAUCGCUUGCAUUCUUA